rnacentral:rRNA from 1 species
GCGGCCUAUCAGCUUGUUGGUGAGGUAAAGGCCUACCUAGGCGACGACGGGUAGCCGGCCUGAGAGGGUGUCCGGCCACACUGGGACUGAGAUACGGCCCAGACUCCUACGGGAGGCAGCAGUGGGGAAUAUUGCACAAUGGGCGCAAGCCUGAUGCAGCGACGCCGCGUGGGGGAUGACGGCCUUCGGGUUGUAAACCUCUUUCACCAGGGACGAAGCGCAAGUGACGGUACCUGGAGAAGAAGCACCGGCCAACUACGUGCCAGCAGCCGCGGUAAUACGUAGGGUGCGAGCGUUGUCCGGAAUUACUGGGCGUAAAGAGCUCGUAGGUGGUUUGUCGCGUUGUUCGUGAAAUCUCACAGCUCAACUGUGGGCGUGCGGGCGAUACGGGCAGACUGGAGUACUGCAGGGGAGACUGGAAUUCCU